GAGCUAACGCGUUAAGUCGACCGCCUGGGGAGUACGGCCGCAAGGUUAAAACUCAAAUGAAUUGACGGGGGCCCGCACAAGCGGUGGAGCAUGUGGUUUAAUUCGAUGCAACGCGAAGAACCUUACCUACUCUUGACAUCCAGCGAACUUUCCAGAGAUGGCUUGGUGCCUUCGGGAACGCUGAGACAGGUGCUGCAUGGCUGUCGUCAGCUCGUGUUGUGAAAUGUUGGGUUAAGUCCCGCAACGAGCGCAACCCUUAUCCUUUGUUGCCAGCGAUUCGGUCGGGAACUCAAAGGAGACUGCCGGUGAUAAACCGGAGGAAGGUGGGGAUGACGUCAAGUCAUCAUGGCCCUUACGAGUAGGGCUACACACGUGCUACAAUGGCGCAUACAAAGAGAAGCGACCUCGCGAGAGCAAGCGGACCUCAUAAAGUGCGUCGUAGUCCGGAUCGGAGUCUGCAACUCGACUCCGUGAAGUCGGAAUCGCUAGUAAUCGUGGAUCAGAAUGCCACGGUGAAUACGUUCCCGGGCCUUGUACACACCGCCCGUCACACCAUGGGAGUGGGUUGCAAAAGAAGUAGGUAGCUUAACCUUCGGGAGGGCGC
rnacentral:rRNA from 1 species